rnacentral:miRNA from 10 species
AGGCUGUGAAAGGUAGCAAUCAUUUCA